rnacentral:rRNA from 1 species
UGCCAGCAGUCGCGGUUAAACCAAGAAAUUUAGUCAUUCUUUUGUGGUAAAAAGACAGUUAGAUAGAAAGUGGCAUAAUUAUUAGAUCCUUAAUAGAGGAGUAAAAUCUAUAUAUUAAAAGUUAUUCCUGAAAUGAUUUGCUUGAGAAUAUCGAAUCUGUGACAACUUUAAGGGAAACUGGGAUUGGAUACCCCAUUAUUUUCAGUCGUAAAUUUAGUAUAAACUUACCAGAGUACUACGAAUAAAAAAGUUUAAAACUCAAAGGGCUUGGCGGUGUUUUAGACCUCUCAGGGGAACCUGUCUCAUAAUCGACAGUCCACGUUAAACCUAACCUUUUAUAGUAAUACAGCUUGUAUACCGUCGUCGUCAGGUAACUUCUAAAAAUAAAGUAGUUAGCUUGAGAAUUUUAUUAAUUAGAACGUCAGAUCAAGGUGCAGCUAAUGAAGAGGUGAGGAUGGGUUACAAUUAUAUAUUUGUAAAUACGGAAAAUGCUUGAAAUUAAGCACCUAAAGGAGGACUUGAAAGUAAUUUUAAUUAUAUAAGUAAAAUGAAUAAGGCUCUGAAACGUGCACACAUCGCCCGCCACUCU